rnacentral:rRNA from 1 species
AAUUUUGUACAAUGGGCGCAAGCCUGAUCCAGCCAUGCCGCGUGAGUGAUGAAGGCCUUCGGGUUGUAAAGCUCUUUCAGAUGGAAAGAAAUCACGCAGGCUAAUACCUUGCGCGGUUUACGUUACCGCCAAAAGAAGCACCGGCUAACUACGUGCCAGCCGCCCCGUUAAUACGUAGGGUGCGAGCGUUAAUCGGAAUUCUUGGGCGUAAAGCGUGCGCAGGCGGUUGAUUAAGACAGGCGUGAAAGCCACGGGCUUAACCUGGGAACUGCGCUUGAGACUGGUAAGCUAGAGUACGGCAGAGGGAGGUGGAAUUCCACGUGUAGCAGUGAAAUGCGUAGAGAUGUAGAGGAACACCGAUGGCGAAGGCAGCCCCCUGGGCCGAUACUGACGCUCAUGCACGAAAGCGUGGGUAGCAAACAGG